CGCCUUUCGAUAGACUAAUAUGAAAGGUCCUGCCUGCCCAGUGAAAAUAUUUAAACGGCCGCGGUAUUAUGACCGUGCAAAGGUAGCAUAAUCACUUGUCUUUUAAAUUAGGACCAGCAUGAAUGGCAAAACGAAAGCCUAACUGUCUCCUUGAAUUAGUCAAUGAAAUUGAUCUUCCCGUGCAGAAGCGGGAGUAUAAUUAUAAGACGAGAAGACCCUGUGGAGCUUAAAAAUAAAAUUAUAUAGAUAUUUCCUAUAAUAAUAUUAAAUUUAGGUUGGGGCGACCAUGAGGUAAAAUAUAACCCUCAAGACAACAAUCAGAAGGACACUUCAAACAAAAUAAAAUUUACAUAUUGACCCAAUAAUGAUCAACGAACCAAGUUACCCCAGGGAUAACAGCGCAAUCCAUUCCCAAAGUCCAUAUCGACGAAUGGGUUUACGACCUCGAUGUUGGAUCAGGACCCCCAAAUGGUGCAACAACUAUUAAAGGUUCGUUUGUUCAACGAUUAAAGUCCU
rnacentral:rRNA from 1 species